rnacentral:rRNA from 1 species
GUCUACGGCCAUGCUACCCAUGAACAAGCCCGAUCUCAUCUGAUCCUGGAAGCUAACCAGGGUCGAGUCUGAUUAAUACUUGGAUGGGAGACCACCUAGGAAGACCAGGUGCUAUAGGCG